ensembl:lncRNA
CCAGAUCCCUGGAAGCAUCCAACAUUUCCUGUAGAGAGCAAGACCAGAGUCAUUACAGCACUGGCCAGGGAUGCAGGCAGUCUGAAGCAAACAUUCAAACAAAACAGUCAGCAUCGGCAGAGAGAUUUACACGGCAUGCUUGAUUUAGGAUGUCAGAUUCCCAACUGCUAUGGGGCUGAGAUGAAGUGGAUGGCCUGGGGCAAUGUCAACAUUGGGGCUUUGGCCCCUCUCAACCCACUUGUGUGAGAGGGAGAGACCAUGACCAAGUCCAGGAAACAGCUGCGGAAAAGAGUGUAAUCCCAGGCUCGGAGGUAAACCUGAGCCGCACCCAAGGAGGCUUUGAGAUUGCAUUUUGGUUAGGUCUUCAAUUUCUGGAUUUGCCAGGGUACAAAGGACACCCUCCAGGUAUUGAUCUUUCUGUGGCAGAGAAGAAAAAGGAGAAGCACGGCUACAUUUGUGAAAGGCAACAAGAUGGAGAAGCCAUGGAAUUCAUGAAGGAGCCGUGUGAAUGAUGCAAGAGUAAUGCCAUGUCACUGCUAAUACAGGAAGAGGAAAGACGUGUCUGUGUGGAGCAGCUCCCUGAAGCGCUGUGAAUGACUGCUGGCAGAUGGGCUACAUGACUGGGCCAGACUGGGCCAGAUGCAUUGGGAACAGGAAGACCCAGCGAGCCGGGUUUUAGAUUUGAGAUCACUUGAUGCAUCAGUCAGUGUCCUAUAAAAAUGUUAAUCACCGUCUGGACCACUGCUAUAAAUGUUUAUACGAGAGGUGAGCAUAUUUAGCGUGAUCUUGACAUGAACUUCUGCUACGAAUUCUUGCUCUGAAUAAAUGUUUCCUCAGAGUCAUGUGGCAUGAGCUCACUUUUUUGACUAUAAUCUCCAUUGAUAUUAUUAUUACUAUUCAAAUUUGGUUAUUAAAUUAGAAGUUAGAAAAUAAAUAAUAAGAGGAAUAUGUUUUGUUAAAUAAGAAGUAAAACUAUUAAUACUUGUAUUAUCAUCAUGUUAUUAUUUUAUUAUUUUGUUAUUUUAUUAAUAAUAAAACAUGAUUGUUAAAUUGUUAUUAUUAUUAUUAUUAUUAUUAUUAUUAUUAUUAUUAUUAUUAUUAUUAUUUAAUAAAAUACUAUUUCAAAAUAAUAAUAAUAAUAAUAAUAAAUUGCUGUUAAAUUAGAAGAUACAAAUUAUUAUUAUUAUUAUUAUUAUUAUUAUUAUUAUGUUUGUUAAAAUAUAAUAAUAUGAGUAAAUAUUCUGGAAUAACAUAGUGGUGAGCAAAUAAUGACGUAGCAGUUAUUAUUAAUAACAAUUAUUUCAUUUUAGGUGAACUACUCCUUUAAGAGAUUUGACUGUUAUCCCGACAGAAUCUACAUUCAUGUGAAGCCAGGGCUUAUGGGAUAUUACAUUGGAAACUUUAUAUGAUACUGAUAUCAGGGAUAUUUACAAAGGUUAUCUUUCUGUAUUUAUGUUGGCUAAAGUUUGUACAAUCAGCUGUGGAACAAAGCCUGCAUUUGGACUGAUAUGAUUGAACAGAUAAUCUUGACACCACAGUGAUGUUAUCUGAUACAUAUGGAGCCUUUAUGCCACAUGCAUUCACACAAGGGCAUCAUGUCCUUUAAAAGAGUUACCACUGAAAACUGGGCAAUACUUUACAUUACAAUAAUUAUAGUCAACAUAUUAUAAAAUUGAAUUAUUAUUACAAUGUAAUAACAAUGUAAUUACAUGUUAAUUACACACAGUUUCACUUUUAACAUACUAAUUUAAAGCAGGACCACAAACUGUUUAUUUAAUAUUCAAAUUUACUUAUUAAGCGCAUGUUUGGUGAGAUUAAUGACAAAAGGCUAACCAGAUAAUGGCGGCUCCAGUUCUGCUGACCAUAGGAAGCAAUAUUUGAUAAGCAGUUCUGUUCAAAGACCGUCAAGAUGAGAUACAGCAUCAUGUGUAACACUGCUAGAAUUCAACAGAGCUGGGAAUCACCGUAUCAAGUGCGGCUCCUUGUGCAUGUGGGAUAUCUUUAAUGGAGAUGUAUGUGCAGUGAUGUGUGUCUCUCUUGGCUGGUCGGUUUCAUGAGCAAAGGCAGAGAGACAGAGAUAAGAGAAGCUGAGAGAAGCACAACAGCAUGACCUCACUAUUAGAGAUAAGAGUGCAGUGAAAGAGCCAGAAGAGCUGCACUGCUGACAGACGUCAGGCCAAAGGUUCACAUCUCCCAAAACAAGCUACAAAUUGGUAUUCCACUACUUUAGCUAUAAAGGCA